GUCAAAAGGCCACAUUCACCCUUGACCAGCCUUCAAUAGGUUGCGCACCAGUCGUAGAAGCACUGGUGGCAGAGCAUCUACUUUGCAUACAGAAGGUCCCAGAUCCAAUCUCUAUCAUCUCCAGGUAGGCCAAGGAGAGACUCCUGUCUGAAACAAUAUUGAACUAGAUGGGACCAGUGGUCUGACUUGGUAGAAGGAAGCAUUGUUAGAAUUCCUGAUCUAUGAUUGCAGUCAUAGGAUUGUUGUCUUUCACAUGACGGUAUAUGUUUUGACUCCACAGAGUGGGAAGUGAUGGAAACAGGAUGUUUGUGUUAUGUGUUCCGUGAAGUCCCAUUGGGGAUAACUUCUAAUUAGACAGGUUUAGGGUUGUACUGCUAGUUGGUUUCUGCAUUUUUUAUUUUUUAUUUUGCAACAGGGAGUUUGAUAUGAUUGAUGUGGUUUUGUCCUUGCCUUUGCUUUUCCUGUUUUGGUUUCGAUACUGUUUUUAAACUGUACGCUCUGCUAGCUGCUUUGAGUUAUUUUACAAAGAAAAGUGGGAAAAGAUCUUGUAAAAUAUUUAUUAUUAUAAGAAUGUUCUGAGAGCCACUCAUUAUUCUACCUUAUGAAAAGAGGUCCCAUGAUGAACCAAAGUGGAGCCAACCUCAAAUAAACAAUUUGGUGUUGGGGAGCUCUAGGCUGUAAGGACCCGUCACACCUUUUUGUAGGACAAGUGUACACAGGAAGGCAAUGCCCAUUCAGCAGCCACUAAGGCUAUUUUACCUGCUAUUUACACCUCAGGCUCCCAAAGCCAUUAACACAUUACCUAGCAGAUGCCAGCUUCAUUCUUAGUGCAUUCAAUUUAAUGGAACUGUGCACUGAAGUGCCAUUGUGGUUAUUUGUUUAACUGACAGGAGAUGGGGAUAUUGCUUGAGACAGCCUUAUAAGAAGCACUCUAAUUAAAUUAGUGGCAAGGGAGCAGCAGCACAGGUAGAUAGUCCUCAAAGCAGGGUGGGGGAAGACUGUCCUCUUUCACAGGUUCACAUGAAAAUGUUGCAUCACAUGGUCCUUUGAGCUGAUCCGGCGGGGCUACUUUCAUGUUCUUAUCUUCCAUUUAUGUAAGAGCAGCAUAUCCUAAUUGUCCUUGCUCCCACCCAAGUCUAAACCUCAAAGCAAAGAAGUAAACUCUAAUGGUACAAACUCGGUGCCUAGGAAAGUGCAGAAUGUAGUCCAGGUUCUCUUACAAGGCAACAAUAAAUGUGGUCCGAGAACAAGGCCAAGGUGCCUGAGUUCAGUAUUAGUAGCAAGAGUUCCAAGACUGCAUGAGAGCUGCAAAGCUGUCCCAACAAUUGCCCUACCUACCAGCCAAGCUUUUAAGCAGAGAGUCCCUGUCCCUGCAGGAAUUCCUUCUCUGAAGAUGCGCACUCUUCCUGAUGAUGGGAGUCUCUUUGCUUGGCAACACCUUUCCCUGGGAGACACCAGCAGGAGUGCUUCUGUCAGGUGUGCGUGCAGGAGCCAGGCCCUGUGACCAAUAGGAUUUGAGGGACUGGAGCCUUCCUAAGUUUGUUCUGAAGAGGCAAGGCGUGGCUUCACAGGUGAGGCCGAUUGGUAACUCACAGCACCUGGUGGCAAGAGCUGGGAAGGGAUAUAAGGUCAGCAUUUCCCUUCGGCUCUUUGCCCCAGCAACACGUUCCCUGCUCUGCUUUGCUUGGCUCCUUGACUCCUUGCUUCUUGAUCCUUGGACCCCUGACUUUGUGACUCCUUGCUUCUUGAUCCUCAGACCCCUGACUUCAUGACUUCCGGCUCUCUGACCCUCAGACUCUUGGCUUCCUGACUCCUGGCUUCUGGACUCCUGUUCCUGCUCCCACCCUGCCAUUUUGCCCCCGGUCCCGACAUCGCCAGCGGGGACUUCGAUCACCUGUGAACCGGACCGUGACAGCUUCCUUUUCUGAACUCUCCUACUCUUCCCCAGCUAGCUGGGCCCAUGAGUGUCCCUCACCCUCCACAGGCUGGGAAGGGGCACCUCCUGGGACUCCCAUCUCAUGUCUGGAGGUGUCUGGAGGCAGAAGGGGGCCUUAGCAAGAGGGCUCUGCAGCUUAGUCUUCCCUCCCCUUCCUACUACUAAUUGCCCUCAUCCUUAGGUGCCUCCCACACUGGGUCUGAAUCAGAAAGACCAGGGGGAAAGGGAACCAUGAUGCUAUUACAGGGUUACAGUACUGGGGGGAAAUUGUACCUGUGCAAUGUUGCCCCUCUUCAGAGAAGAAGCCCUGUUGUAAAAUAAAUGUGAUGAUCUUACUAUCAGCCACAAAAA